rnacentral:rRNA from 1 species
GCAUGGCGGCAGCUACACAUGCAAGUCGAGCGAGAUCUUCGGAUCUAGCGGCGGACGGGUGAGUAACGCGUGGGAACGUACCCUCUUCUGCGGGAUAGCCACUGGAAACGGUGAGUAAUACCGCAUACGCCCUUCGGGGGAAAGAUUUAUCGGAGGAGGAUCGGCCCGCGUUGGAUUAGGUAGUUGGUGGGGUAAUGGCCUACCAAGCCUACGAUCCAUAGCUGGUUUUAGAGGAUGAUCAGCCACACUGGGACUGAGACACGGCCCAGACUCCUACGGGAGGCAGCAGUGGGGAAUCUUAGACAAUGGGCGCAAGCCUGAUCUAGCCAUGCCGCGUGAGUGACGAAGGCCUUAGGGUCGUAAAGCUCUUUCGCCUGUGAUGAUAAUGACAGUAGCAGGUAAAGAAACCCCGGCUAACUCCGUGCCAGCAGCCGCGGUAAUACGGAGGGGGUUAGCGUUGUUCGGAAUUACUGGGCGUAAAGCGCACGUAGGCGGAUUGGAAAGUAUGGGGUGAAAUCCCAGGGCUCAACCCUGGAACGGCCUCAUAAACUUCCAGUCUGGAGUUCGAGAGAGGUGAGUGGAAUUCCGAGUGUAGAGGUGAAAUUCGUAGAUAUUCGGAGGAACACCAGUGGCGAAGGCGGCUCACUGGCUCGAUACUGACGCUGAGGUGCGAAAGUGUGGGGAGCAAACAGGAUUAGAUACCCUGGUAG